UACGUAAGGACCGAGCGUUGUCCGGAAUCAUUGGGCGUAAAGGGUACGUAGGCGGGUCAUUAAGUUAGAAGUCAAAGGCUAUAGCUCAACUAUAGUAAGCUUCUAAAACUGGAGACCUUGAGUAAUGGAAGGGAAAGUGGAAUUCCUAGUGUAGCGGUGGAAUGCGCAGAUAUUAGGAGGAAUACCGGUGGCGAAGGCGACUUUCUGGCCAUUAACUGACGCUGAGGUACGAAAGCGUGGGUAGCAAACA
rnacentral:rRNA from 1 species